UACGGAGGGGACUAGCGUUGUUCGGAAUUACUGGGCGUAAAGCGCACGUAGGCGGAUUUGUAAGUCAGGGGUGAAAUCCCGGGGCUCAACCUCGGAACUGCCUUUGAUACUGCAAAUCUCGAGUCCGGAAGAGGUGAGUGGAAUUCCUAGUGUAGAGGUGAAAUUCGUAGAUAUUAGGAAGAACACCAGUGGCGAGGGCGGCUCACUGGUCCGGUACUGACGCUGAGGUGCGAAAGCGUGGGGAGCAAACAGG
rnacentral:rRNA from 1 species